GAGUAACUAUGACUCUCUUAAGGUAGCCAAAUGCCUCGUCAUCGUAUCAAAAAAGGGUGAAAUCGGCUCAUUUUGGGCCUAAAAGUAGCUUAAUUGCUUGAAGGAGGGGUCAUUUUCGACGCGGGAAGCGAUUUUCUCGACGGCACGGGUACCAAUUCUGCCAGAAUGAGUACGAUUGCAGUCGAGAAAUUUUUUUCCGCCGUUGAUUUUGGACCGAUUUUACGGUCUCCGACAAGCAGCCGGGCUUUUUCGAGCUCGGGAAAGCCGAUCGAGUGUUGGAGGUCGGGAUUUCCCGACCCCCAAAUGAUCCUUUCGGUGUCCCGAGGUCGGGAAAACACGGUCCAGAGACUAUACAGCUCGGAAAAGAGAGGUAGUCCGUCGAAAGUAGUACCGGAGAGGUCGGUGGAUUCACGAUUUUGGUCGAGAAACCACCGAGAAACCUCGGUGCGGACGAAAAAAGACGUUAAUUUGUGACGCGCAUGAAUGGAUUAAUGAGAUUCCCACUGUCCCUACCUACUAUCUAGCGAAACCACAGCCAAGGGAACGGGCUUGGCACAAUUAGCGGGGAAAGAAGACCCUGUUGAGCUUGACUCUAGGCACAGAAGCGAGGUGAUUCUAAAGGUGUAGCAUAGGUGGGAGGGCCUGGCCCGACCUUGAAAUACCACCACUUGAGACAUUGCUUUGCUAAUGCUGUAACGAACGAACGGCCCCCGGGCCGCCAUCCGCAAGGGUGGCACCCGGUACGGUCAUAUUCUAGCGCUUUCCUAGUCGAGUACGACGGCUUGGCUCCUCUGGGUGAGUACCCUGGGACCGCAAGUUGGGCUUCCGGGUCUGACGAGCGUUGCUCCUGGGGGAACCAGGGAUAGUUGGGCUGUCCUCUGCUUGGCGAUUCGGGUACGUAAGCCGUGUAGCAGACCAUCUGUGUUGGGGAGUUUGGCUGGGGCGGAAAACUGCUACACGGCAACGGCAGUCUCCUAAGGUCCACUCAGAGACGACAGAAACGUCUCGUAGAGCAUAAAGGCAAAAGUGGGCUUAACUUACAUUCUCAGUAGUAAUGUGAAGCAAGAAAUUGAGGCUUAACGAUCCUUAGCAGCGGGUGCCAGCCCAUGCUUGAGGUGAGAGAAAAGUUACCACAGGGAUUGAUCAAAGCGUAGCUUUCCGGGAUAUUCCAAUGGAGGUCAGUAGGGACGCCGAACACCUCCGGAGUAUCUCGUAUGACUCGGGUUUGCAGUAGUACGACCGGCUCUCCUCGCGGGGGGCUGGAGAUACGAGACAUUCUCGGGUUUGGUUCCAAAACGUAGUCAGACUCGAGAGAAGCGCAGGUUUCUCGGGUCAGGCGACGCACCUGGUUGCUGGGAACACCCAUCCCAAACGGCUUCGGUACCAAGCGUUCCCCGGUGAUUCCGGGGCGUGAAGUGUGAGCCCUUCCACCCUUCAAUGGGGGUCGGCGAGCACGGGUAAUAAUCCGAUGUCCGGGGUUGACCAGCAGGCGACAAGGACUGCCCAAGUUGGCUAAUAGGGGGAGAGUAGGGAUCUUCGGAUCUCUCCGAGCCCGACUUGCCACCUGGUAACGGCGUCUAAGCGUCUCAACGACUGGGAAGGUGCGGGUGCUUGUGGGCCUGAAGCAGAGUUACUCCUACCCGGGGUUUCUCCGUGAUAAGGCUUGCUAGUGCUUAAGGUACAGUCUACCCCCACCCGCAAGGGUGUCCUUGGCUCCCACCCGGAGAAAUCCCGUUUGCGACGUCACGCAUUGCGAGGCGGCUUACUGCAAUAGGGCAAAUCGCCGGAUGACCCACCACUGCAGGGUCGGCCAAAGGAGAGGUUUCGUCGUUAAGUAUGAUACCCCGAGAUCGUUAGCGUAGGGAGAUUCCUGGGAUGGAGGCUUUCACCACCACCCCGCUUAAGGUUUCACCCAAGAGAUCACGAGGAGGAUGCUAUACGGCGAUUCCCGGUAUGGGGAACUGGCUUGUGGCCGCCAAGCGUUCAUAGCGACGUGGC
rnacentral:rRNA from 1 species